GGGGAGGACUACACAUGCAGUCGAGCGAGAACUUCGGUUCUAGCGGCGGACGGGUUAGUAACGCGUGGGAACGUGCCCUUCACUACGGAAUAGUCCCGGGAAACUGGGUUUAAUACCGUAUACGCCCUUCGGGGGAAAGAAUUUCGGUGAAGGAUCGGCCCGCGUUAGAUUAGAUAGUUGGUGGGGUAACGGCCUACCAAGUCUACGAUCUAUAGCUGGUUUUAGAGGAUGAUCAGCAACACUGGGACUGAGACACGGCCCAGACUCCUACGGGAGGCAGCAGUGGGGAAUCUUAGACAAUGGGCGCAAGCCUGAUCUAGCCAUGCCGCGUGAGUGAUGAAGGCCUUAGGGUCGUAAAGCUCUUUCGCCAGGGAUGAUAAUGACAGUACCUGGUAAAGAAACCCCGGCUAACUCCGUGCCAGCAGCCGCGGUAAUACGGAGGGGGUUAGCGUUGUUCGGAAUUACUGGGCGUAAAGCGCGCGUAGGCGGAUUGGAAAGUUGGGGGUGAAAUCCCAGGGCUCAACCCUGGAACUGCCUCCAAAACUAUCAGUCUAGAGUUCGAGAGAGGUGAGUGGAACUCCGAGUGUAGAGGUGAAAUUCGUAGAUAUUCGGAAGAACACCAGUGGCGAAGGCGGCUCACUGGCUCGAUACUGACGCUGAGGUGCGAAAGUGUGGGGAGCAAACAGGAUUAGAUACCCUGGUAGUCCACA
rnacentral:rRNA from 1 species